AUACAGCUGAGGAGUCCCAACUAGGUCGAAACGCGCAUCCUGGAU
rnacentral:hammerhead_ribozyme from 1 species